rnacentral:rRNA from 1 species
UACGUAGGGGGCUAGCGUUGUCCGGAAUCAUUGGGCGUAAAGAGCGCGUAGGCGGCUUUGUAAGUUAGAGGUGAAAGCCCGGAGCUCAACUCCGGAAUUGCCUUUAAGACUGCAUCGCUAGAAUUGUGGAGAGGUGAGUGGAAUUCCGAGUGUAGAGGUGAAAUUCGUAGAUAUUCGGAAGAACACCAGUGGCGAAGGCGACUCACUGGACACAUAUUGACGCUGAGGUGCGAAAGCGUGGGGAGCAAACAGG